rnacentral:rRNA from 1 species
AGAGUUUGAUCCUGGCUCAGGACGAACGCUGGCGGCGUGCUUAACACAUGCAAGUCGAGCGAUGAAGUUUCUUCGGAAAUGGAUUAGCGGCGAACGGGUGAGGAACACGUGAAGAAUCUGCCCUCCACUUUGGGAUAACACAGGGAAACCUGUGCUAAUACCGAAUAUUGAAACAUAAGUGGCAUCACUGAGUUUUGAAAGAAUUUCGGUGGAGGAUGACUUCGCGGCCUAUCAGCUAGUUGGUGAGGUAAUGGCUCACCAAGGCAACGACGGGUAGCCGGCCUGAGAGGGCGACCGGCCACACUGGGACUGAGACACGGCCCAGACUCCUACGGGAGGCAGCAGUGGGGAAUAUUGGGCAAUGGAGGAAACUCUGACCCAGCGACGCCGCGUGCGGGAUGAAGGCCUUCGGGUUGUAAACCGCUUUCAGUAGGGAAGAAGCGAAAGUGACGGUACCUACAAAAGAAGCACCGGCUAACUAUGUGCCAGCAGCCGCGGUAAUACAUAGGGUGCAAGCGUUGUCCGGAAUUAUUGGGCGUAAAGAGCUCGUAGGUCGUUUGUUACGUCGGAUGUGAAAACCUGAGGCUCAACCUCAGGCCUGCAUUCGAUACGGGCAAACUAGAGUUUGGUAGGGGAGACUGGAAUUCCUGGUGUAGCGGUGGAAUGCGCAGAUAUCAGGAGGAACACCAAUGGCGAAGGCAGGUCUCUGGGCCAAUACUGACACUGAGGAGCGAAAGUCUGGGGAGCGAACAGGAUUAGAUACCCUGGUAGUCCAGACCGUAAACGGUGGGCACUAGUUG